UACGUAGGGUGCGAGCGUUGUCCGGAAUUACUGGGCGUAAAGAGCUCGUAGGUGGUUUGUCGCGUUGUUCGUGAAAACCGGGGGCUUAACCCUCGGCGUGCGGGCGAUACGGGCAGACUGGAGUACUGCAGGGGAGACUGGAAUUCCUGGUGUAGCGGUGGAAUGCGCAGAUAUCAGGAGGAACACCGGUGGCGAAGGCAGGUCUCUGGGCAUUAACUGACGCUGAGGAGCGAAAGCAUGGGGAGCGAACAGG
rnacentral:rRNA from 1 species